UACGUAGGGUGCGAGCGUUAAUCGGAAUUACUGGGCGUAAAGCGUGCGCAGGCGGUUCGUUAAGCCAGCUGUGAAAACUCGAGGCUCAACCUCGAGACGUCGGUGGAAACUGCCUCGCUAGAGUCCGGAAGAGGAGAGUGGAAUUCCUGGUGUAGCGGUGAAAUGCGCAGAUAUCAGGAAGAACACCCGUGGCUAAGGCGGCUCUCUAGUACGGUACUGACGCUGAGACGCGAAAGCGUGGGGAGCGAACAGG
rnacentral:rRNA from 1 species